CGAUUGCUGUGAAAGAUCUUACUUAUACGAAAUCUACAUAUUAAGGUUCGUCUUAGACGUCUCUAAAAAUUUGUCUAAGUUUGUUGGCCUAAAAUUGUUCAAUUUUGAUGCCAAAUAUCUCGAAGACAAUGAACUUUGAAGUAAAUAUGGAUACUAUAUUGCUUAAAGCCGUUGCAGUUAAUAUGAUAA